rnacentral:rRNA from 1 species
GAUGAACGCAGCGGCAGGCCUAACACAUGCAAGUCGAGGGGUAACAUAGGAAAGCUUGCUUUUCUGAUGACGACCGGCGCACGGGUGCGUAACGCGUAUACAACCUACCUUUUAGCGGGGAAUAGCCCAGGGAAACUUGGAUUAAUGCCCCAUAGUAUAUAGACUUCUCCUGAAGUUUAUAUUAAACAUUUAUGGCUAUUAGAUGGGUAUGCGUCCUAUUAGUUAGUUGGUAAGGUAACGGCUUACCAAGGCAGCGAUAGGUAGGGGUCCUGAGAGGGAGAUCCCCACACUGGUACUGAGACACGGACCAGACUCCUACGGGAGGCAGCAGUGAGGAAUAUUGGACAAUGGGCGAGAGCCUGAUCCAGCCAUGCCGCGUGCAGGAAGACUGCCCUAUGGGUUGUAAACUGCUUUUACAGAGGAAGAACCACCCCCACGUGUGGGGGUUUGACGGUACUCUGCGAAUAAGGAUCGGCUAACUCCGUG